rnacentral:lncRNA from 1 species
UUAAAAGGGAAAACUUAAAAUACUUCUUUUGUGGUUUCACUUUUUUUUAUUUUACUACCUUGUGAUUUAAAAUGUAUCAAUUUAGUAUUCUGUGCUGCUUUCGCACUUUCUCACUUUAUAGUACCAUAUGAUUUAAAGUGUAUCAAGUUAGUAUCCUGUGGUUUAAUAUUUUAUUAAGAAAAAAAUAAAACCAUAUGAUACUAACUUGAUACGAAAAUAAAAUCACAGAGUACUAACUUGAUACAAAAAUAAAACGACAGAAUACUAACUUGAUAUACUUUAAACCACAUGAUACUAAAAUGAGAAAGUGCGAAAAUACAGGAUACUAAUUUGAUAUAAUUUAAACCAUAGGGUACUAUAAUGAAAAAGUGCAAAACUACAGGAGCGAUUUUUGAAGUUUUUCCAAAGUUAAAUCCAAUGAUAGAAGUGAAAAUUAAUUCUUCAGUGGGAAGCUUUCUAAAAAAGGUCUCGUUCAGGACCCUUGGAUUUAUUGUUAAGUGUUAGUUUUUUUUUCAUAUACAAAAAUUAUAAUUUUUUAUUUAUUUUUUAAUUUUAGUAUUAAAAAAUAUUUAAUAAUUUUUUAAUGAAUUACAAAAUUGACACGUGAUAGCACAUUAGAAACUCUAGAAUAAGAUGUUAUUUGAAAACUCCCCACCGAAAUUUUAUCCUAUACAGAUGGUGAUACAUUUAUGAGGGGAUGAAGAAUUUAAAAUAAUAAAAAUAAAAUCAGAAAAAGUCUACAUGUACACCCCGUCUUAGGAUAUAUACAAUAUACACCCAUUCAUUGGAUGGAUAAAAUUCUUUUAUUUAUCACAUAAUGUGACAAGUAAAAGAAUUCCAUCUAUUGAAUAAAUGAGUGUAAAUCAUUCAACACUGG